GGAAAAAUAAAGCAAAUAAUCACAUGCACAAAACCAAAUAAACAUGCAUAGUUAAAUCAAUUAAAUUAGAACUACUGUAUACACUGGGGGGUAACUUUGUUACCUUAAAGUUCACAUAACCGAAAAUGUUUUGAAUGUUCAGAAAACAUUAGCAAAAUGCUCUUAAAAUAUAUUUUUGUUAGCUGGGUAUCACUUCUGCUGUUGUUAAUGCAUUUAUAAUGUUGUCUGUUUUUACUCAGUUUCAUGGUAAUAAUUCUGCAUAUCAUUUGGCCUGUGCAGAUCAUUGUAAUAUUACUAGUUCAGCUAUUAUUACUCUUAUUACUAGUUCAGUUAUUAUUGUUAUAUGUGACCCUGGAGCGCAAAAGCAGUCUUAAAUCGCUGGGGUAUAUUUGUAGCAAUAGCCAAAAAUACAUAGAUUUUUAUUUUAUCUCAAAAAUCAUUAGGAUAUUAAGUAUUUUGUAAAUUUCCUACCAUGAAUAUAUCAAAACUUAAUUUUUGAUUAGUGAUAUGCAUUGCUAAGAACUUCAUUUGGACAACUUUAAAGAUGAUUUUCUCAAUAUUUAGACUUUUUACACCAUAAGAUUCCAGAUUUUCAAAUAGUUGUUUCUCGGCAUAAUAUUGUUCUAUCCAAACAAACCAUACAUCAAUGGAGAGAUUAUUUACUCAGCUUUCAGAUGAUGUACAAAUCUCAGUUUUGAAAAACUGACACUUAUGAAUGGUUUUGUGGUCCAGGGUCACAUAUUUCUAGUUAAGUGACAUUUCUUCUUCACAUCUAUAGUUGCAAAAUCAAUGUAAUCAGUCAUGUCAGGGCGAAAAUAGUUGAAAUGCAUUGCCAAUUUUUCCAUGAAUCUUGUUCUCUUCCUCAUAGCUUGUGGUUGGGUUUCAUUGGUGCUUGCAUGAGUGGGUGGCAUAUGACAGCACAGGUCUCACUAAACCCUUUUCAUUAUCGCUCUCUGUCUCUCUCGGUGCAUUUCUUCUCUCUGAGCUCUUGUUCUGUUCUCUUCAGUCAUCAGGGAGAUAUUACAGGAUUUUCAGUCACACACAGAGCUGAUGUGGAUGUUUCUGCUCCUCAUCGAUUCACUUUUUACACUCAUCAGAAGAGGAGAUUGUGGAGGGACGGUGAUAUGUGACAGAUCACAUGUGAGAAGAGAUAAAGGCAUUAAAUGAGAGAUGGGCAGCAGAGAGAAAGACUCAAAGUCUAAAGAAUCACUGAAGAUUAUUCGCAGAGACAGCAUGGAGCAAAAACCAAACAGUGAGUAUUUUGUCUGUGUUACAUUUGCCUUAUUAUUACAGAAAAGGAAGGCCGAGGCUAGCUGUCACGGUUUUUAUUUCAGUAAAUAUUACAUAGCAUGAAAGCCUUCAAGAGUUGGUUAAUACAUAGCAGUGAUUAAACAAGGACAAGGUGGGGUUUGUGGAGGUGGAUGGAGGCGUGAGAUAAGCAGCUGUUGGUUUGUAUUAUGAGUAAGAAUAAACUCCUCCCAAAAUUAAUUUCCGGUUCA
ensembl:lncRNA